GCUGGGAUACCGAAGUGGUCAACCGGGCCUGACUGUAAAUCAGGUGGCAUUUGCCUACGGGGGUUCGAAUCCCUCUCCCAGCACCG
rnacentral:tRNA from 1 species